UGGGGAAUAUUGCACAAUGGGGGAAACCCUGAUGCAGCAACGCCGCGUGAGUGAAGAAGUAUUUCGGUAUGUAAAGCUCUGUCAGCAGGGAAGAAGAUGACGGUACCUGACCAAGAAGCCCCGGCUAACUACGUGCCAGCAGCCGCGGUAAUACGUAGGGGGCAAGCGUUAUCCGGAUUUACUGGGUGUAAAGGGAGCGCAGACGGCAGUGCAAGUCUGGAGUGAAAGCCCGGGGCCCAACCCCGGAACUGCUCUGGAAACUGUACGGCUUGAGUACUGGAGGGGCAGGCGGAAUUCCUAGUGUAGCGGUGAAAUGCGUAGAUAUUAGGAGGAACACCAGUGGCGAAGGCGGCCUGCUGGACAGUAACUGACGUUGAGGCUCGAAAGCGUGGGGAGCAAACAGG
rnacentral:rRNA from 1 species